GUCCCUGUAGCACAAUGGAGAGCGCGUGUUGGACUUCUCAUCCUAAGGUCGUGGGUUAGAAUUCCACCUGGGAUG